UAAUAGUGUAUAUUAAAGUUGUUGCAGUUAAAAAGCUCGUAGUUGAAUGUUGGUGUCGAACGAGCGGUCAGCUUCGGCUGUACUGCUCUCUCGACUCCUUCCUUCUGUGGACUACGUCGCACUUUACUGUGUGGCGCUAGGACGCAGAUCGUUUACUGUGAAAAAAUUAGAGUGCUCAAAGCAGGCCGUACGCUUGAAUACAUUAGCAUGGAAUAAUGGAAUAGGACGUCGGGCCUAUUUUGUUGGUUCUAGGACCGUCGUAAUGAUUAAUAGGGACAGUUGGGGCCGUUUAUAUUCCGUAGUCAGAGGUGAAAUUCUUGGAUUUACGGAAGAUAAACUACUGCGAAAGCAUUCGGCAAGGAUGUUUUCGUUAA
rnacentral:rRNA from 1 species